UGUCUGUAAGGGCUUUGCUGCGUUUGAGACUACAGAUUCACAAAGGUGUCACCCCAGGGUUCGCACCUCCAUCUUGCCAAGAGGGCUUUGGUCCUGAGAUAUGAGUAUUAGCAACUGAGCCUGGUACUUUGCAGAAGAGAUCUGAUAGGAAUACUGCUGAAUGCUUGCAUAAAUGCACGUUCUGUAGGUGCUCUUGUGAAGAAUGAUAGAAUUUAUUCUUACUUAUUCAAAAUGUUAAAAGGAUUAUUUUGAAGAUGAGAAUGCAAGACAUCAAGAGAAGGAACCCCUGGUGACUAUGGCAAUAUUUCAGAAGAAAGGAGUGUGUUUAAAUGACAUCAGGCUUAAGGGGAGAAUCAAGCCCAGCUUUCCUGGGUCCAACCACAAGGUUAUCAUAUGUACGGUCCUUCAACAAAAGAGGCAGCCUGCUCAGACAGGUUUUAUCCUACCACAGGACGGCUCAGGAACUGCUUAGCCCUCACAGGAGAAAGUCCUGUGGCUGCAGCAAUCAUAACAGAGGAGACCACAGAAUGCUACCAGGAGCAGCAUUAUUUGUACCAG